rnacentral:miRNA from 14 species
CCUUCGAGUGACUAUCAAAUCU